GUGGGGAAUUUUGGACAAUGGGGGCAACCCUGAUCCAGCCAUUCCGCGUGAGUGAAGAAGGCCUUCGGGUUGUAAAGCUCUUUCGGCAGGAACGAAACGGUGAGCUCUAACAUAGCUCGCUAAUGACGGUACCUGAAGAAGAAGCACCGGCUAACUACGUGCCAGCAGCCGCGGUAAUACGUAGGGUGCGAGCGUUAAUCGGAAUUACUGGGCGUAAAGCGUGCGCAGGCGGUUGUGUAAGACAGGUGUGAAAUCCCCGGGCUUAACCUGGGAACUACGCUUGUGACUGCACGGCUAGAGUAUGGCAGAGGGGGGUGGAAUUCCGCGUGUAGCAGUGAAAUGCGUAGAGAUGCGGAGGAACACCGAUGGCGAAGGCAGCCUCCUGGGAUGACACUGACGCUCAUGCACGAAAGCGUGGGGAGCAAACAGGAUUAGAAACCCUUGUAGUCC
rnacentral:rRNA from 1 species